rnacentral:misc_RNA from 1 species
CAGAGACUUUUGUCUUACUAGUAUUGUGAAUGUGUCUCAAGGGAGGUUGAGUACUGGUGGUGACUGGGUGGCCAUCUCGGUCACUCGGCCCCUGCCAGUCAGUGCUCUGGGCACACCUCGACCGGCCCGCCUUAAACGUACCCUUCUUUUAUUACUACUUAAACCAUCUUUAAUACAAAGA